rnacentral:lncRNA from 10 species
CGCAGCUGGAGCACCCCCGAGGAGCCCCACUCAACAGUGGCUUCUCUGAAGAUGAGCCACAGAAGUUCAGUUCCUGGGGAGCAGGGCUGGUUCUUUCCUGCUUUUAAUGCUAUAGGAAACCUCGGCUGCUGGGGAGGCUGCGGGCGAGGGGCCGCAGACAGGCCGAGGGUCUGCAGGAAGCCGCGAGUCGACAGGAGAGAGGGGAUGAGAGGCGCGCUGAGCAAAGGCGGCGAGAAACGCUGCCGUCACCUCCUGCCCGGGCCCCGUGGGGCCGCCCGGCCGCCGCCACGCAGACGUGGUGUGUAAAACCGUGGGUCAGCCCGCGUCUGCUGGUCGCCGGGGAGCAGAGGCUCGUUAAGACCGUCUGUUAAAAGCCAGCGGCUUCCAUCGUCACUCAGCUAAAAACGUGUCAGUGGAGAGCGGAGCCAAACGUGCUUUUUCUAGGGGAGGAAACAGGCUUUUCACACACCGGCUGUCGCCAGGACCAGGCGACUCCGAGUCUUCAGCGGCAGAACGUGGUCCUCCCUUCGGGGUCCCUGAGCUGCAAUGCAGCCGCUUGAGGCUGGGGACGGCUCCAAGGAGCCCCCAGUCACCAAGAAGCAGCCUCCAGAAAGGCCGCUGCGGGUUCCGGGGAAAGGCGGCCUGAACGUGCAUUCCCGUGAGACUGCCUGGAGGGGCGAGCUCUGCUGCGGGGCAGGGGGUGCCUGAUGUGGGCUGAGGCCUGUGCAGAGAAGCCAAGAGGACACCUGGACCCUCCGCCGAGUCCAGCCACCAGAGACCCAGAGCCCCCCACGAAAGCAGAGCCUCGGGCCGGGCCCUGUGGCUCACGCCUGUAAUCCCAGCACUAUGGGAGCCCGAGGCGGGAGGAUCACGAGGUCAGGAGACUGAGACCAUCCUGGCUGACACGGUGAAACCUCAUCUCUAAUAAAUAUACAAAAAAUUAGCCGGGCGUGGUGGUGGGCGCCUGUAGUCCCA